UAGAACUUUUAGUCACUCUCCUCUCACACAUACCUCCAAGGAGGGGAGAGGGGCUGGAGGCUGAGUCAGCCAAGAGACGGUGACUUAAUCAAUCCUGACUAUGCAGUGAAGCCUCCGUAAAGAGCCUAACAGACAGGGUUUGGAGAGCAUCCAGGUUGGUGAACACGUAGAGAUGGGAGAGAGAGGCACACCUAGAGAAGUUGGUGGAAAGGCUCCCUCUUCUGGGCCAACAUCCUGAAGUUCUCGGAAGCCUAUGAAUUCUGCCGGAAGUCUGGAAAGAUGGCCACGAUUCCCAAACGUCUGGGAACCAUAAUCUAGAAGAUGGUGAGGAUGCACUUAGGUAAUCUAAUGAGACCUUUGGAUCCCCCAUGCUGGAAAAGAUGGACAUAUACGUGAUGUUUUGCAAAUAAUUACAAGAUUUGAAAGAUCCUAUGGAGCUCGCUCUGUGAAUCAAUCAAGAAUCUGGGAGCCACAAAUCAAGAGACCCUCCUCUACCAUUAAGUAAAGCCUUCCUAUCUUUUUUUUUUUUUCCUGUUUCUAAAUCCACAUCCCUAGCCUCCUGUUUGAAUUUGAGGACCGUGUCCUGGGUUCUGUUUAUAACCAAACUGUUUCAGCAUCUUAUUUCGUUUGG